rnacentral:rRNA from 1 species
UACGGAGGGGGCUAGCGUUGUUCGGAAUUACUGGGCGUAAAGCGCACGUAGGCGGAUUGGCAAGUUAGGGGUGAAAUCCCGGGGCUCAACCCCGGAACUGCCUUUAAAACUGCCGGUCUUGAGUUCGAGAGAGGUGAGUGGAAUUCCGAGUGUAGAGGUGAAAUGACGCAGAUAUCAGGAAGAACACCCGUGGCGAAGGCGGCUCUCUGGUACGUGACUGACGCUGAGACGCGAAAGCGUGGGGAGCAAACAGG